rnacentral:rRNA from 1 species
UAGGUACGGCCCAACAAGGCGAUGAUCAGUAGCCGGUCUGAGAGGAUGAACGGCCACAUUGGGACUGAGACACGGCCCAGACUCCUACGGGAGGCAGCAGUGGGAAAUCUUCCGCAAUGGACGAAAGUCUGACGGAGCAACGCCGCGUGAGUGAAGAAGGUCUUCGGAUUGUAAAGCUCUGUUAUACGGGACGAAAAAGACGGAUGCCAACAGUAUCCGUCCGUGACGGUACCGUAAGAGAAAGCCACGGGCUAACUACGUGCCAGCAGCCGCGGUAAAU